GAGGGAGCGUCCGCGGCCCGCGCAGAGCCGCGCACCAAGCCGAUGGCGGUGGACGCAGCAGGGCCCCGCGGUCUGAGUGCGGGCAGGCGCGCGUGGGCGUGUCUCCCUGGCCCACGCGUGUCCCCGGCAUCAGUGUCUCGGCUCUGGUCCAGGACGAAGACUUCUGAAAGCGAGCCAAGGAGAAUCACAGUUCUUAACGGAGCCCCUGACUGCCCGGUGGAAGGAGGUGAUUUAGAAGACAGUGAGUUGAUCUGGGGCAAAGUGAAGCAUCAGUAGCGCCUUCCAUCCCUUCACCUCACCUGGAUCUCUUCACUUCACUCCACGUCUGUCGUCUCCCAUGCAUGAAGCAACAUGGCCAAGUGAAGCUGCAACCAGUAAAGUGUAAGGUAUCAAGUAGUGACAAUGAUGGUGUCAAAUAA
rnacentral:lncRNA from 1 species